UAGAAGACAUCGUGGCCAUAAUGAUUCCUGAGCCAAAAGGGAAGGAGAUAGUAAGCCUGCUGGAAAGAAACAUCACCGUGACGAUGUACAUCACCAUCGGAACCCGGAACUUGCAGAAAUAUGUGAGCCGCACUUCGGUUGUGUUUGUCUCCAUCUCCUUCAUUGUCCUGAUGAUCAUUUCCCUCGCAUGGCUCGUCUUUUAUUACAUCCAGAGGUUUCGAUAUGCAAAUGCCAGGGAUAGGAACCAGCGCCGACUGGGGGAUGCAGCAAAGAAAGCCAUCAGCAAACUCCAGAUCAGGACCAUCAAGAAGGGUGACAAGGAAACAGAGUCCGAUUUUGACAACUGUGCAGUUUGUAUUGAAGGGUACAAGCCCAAUGACGUUGUCCGGAUCCUGCCCUGCCGGCUGACUCAUCCACAGACUUCUUUGCAUCUUCUUGGCAUAAAAACUGUUUCAAAAAAUGUUCCAGUUUAUCAUCUCCCUUCACUCACACUUUCUCUGUGGCCUCAUAACUGCUGACAUUCUUGGUGCAUCUCUUCACUAUUGUUUUCAUUUAGAAUGUCUUUCCAAAUUAUACUCUUGUGCCACAACUUUUUCAAAAUCAUUUUAUCGCUUGUCCCUUUCUGAGACCCACGAACAAAUUAUGAUGAAUUAUUAAUAAAUGCC
rnacentral:sRNA from 1 species